AGAGUUAAACAGUACGUGAAAUUGUUGAAAAGGAAACGAUUGAAGUCAGUCGUACCGGUGGGUAAUCAGCCUUUCGGUGUGAUUAUGUGGAGUGUGAGGAGUUAAGAGCCCUUGUGCCUGCAUAUUCGUGCUCUUUGGGUGUACUUGCCCGCAUGGUAGGUUAACAUCAAUUUCGGACGUCAUAAAAUGGUUGGAGGAAUGUAGCUUCGGUCUUGUAUUGAAGUGUUAUAGUCUUCGGCAGAUGUGAUGAUCGGGAUUGAGGAUUGCAACGGAUACCCUUCGGGGCUACUCGUCUGAUCUCUGAUAGUUUCUCUGGUGCCGAAAGCGUGCUUACGGUUAUCAAAGUUGACGGUCAACAGGUUAGAACGGGUUAAGUUCGUUAAGGAUGUUGACAUAAUGGCUUUAAACGACC
rnacentral:rRNA from 1 species